AUUGAACGCUGGCGGCAGGCCUAACACAUGCAAGUCGAACGAGUGGCGGACGGGUGAGUAAUGUCUGGGAAACUGCCCGAUGGAGGGGGAUAACUACUGGAAACGGUAGCUAAUACCGCAUACCAUCGGAUGUGCCCCGAUGGGCUUAGCUAGUAGGUGGGGUAAGGGCUCACCUAGGAGACGAUCCCUAGCUGGUCUGAGAGGAUGACCAGGCAAAAGGGAACUGAGACACGGUCCAGACUCCUACGGGAGGCAGCAGGGGGGAAUAUUGCGCAAUGGGCGCAAGCCUGAUGCAGCCAUGCCGCGUGUAUGAAGGAGGCCUUCGGGUUGUAAAGUACUUUCAGCGAGGAGGCGUUACUCGCAGAAGAAGCGCCGGCUAACUCCGUGCCAGCAGCCGCGGUAAUAC
rnacentral:rRNA from 1 species